CAGGCAGGUCAUGUCACCGCUGUUUAGAUACAACAGAGGAAAGUCCGGGCUUAAUAAAGCAGGAUGCCGGGUAACCCCCGGGCCUUAACUUCGGGCAGCCGAGGCUGAGGACAGAUAGUGCCACAGAAAAUAUACCGCCCGGGCUUCCGGAAUUCCGGCUCCCGGGUAAGGGUGAAAAGGCGAGGUAAGAGCUCACCGCGUUGACGGCAACGGUAACGGCAGGGUAAACCUCAUCCUAAGCAAAGCCAAGCAUGCAGAGGACUGCUCGUCCUUUCAAUCUGCGGGUAGGCUGCAGGAUCGGACUGGUAACAGUCCGGCAAGAUAGAUGGUGACACGCGACAGAACCCGGCUUACCGACCUGCCUCUUAU
rnacentral:RNase_P_RNA from 1 species